rnacentral:rRNA from 1 species
AUUGAACGCUGGCGGCAUGCCUUACACAUGCAAGUCGAACGGUAACGGGUCCUUCGGGAUGCCGACGAGUGGCGAACGGGUGAGUAAUAUAUCGGAACGUGCCCAGUAGUGGGGGAUAACUGCUCGAAAGAGCAGCUAAUACCGCAUACGACCUGAGGGUGAAAGGGGGGGAUCGCAAGACCUCUCGCUAUUGGAGCGGCCGAUAUCAGAUUAGCUAGUUGGUGGGGUAAAGGCCUACCAAGGCAACGAUCUGUAGUUGGUCUGAGAGGACGACCAGCCACACUGGGACUGAGACACGGCCCAGACUCCUACGGGAGGCAGCAGUGGGGAAUUUUGGACAAUGGGCGCAAGCCUGAUCCAGCAAUGCCGCGUGCAGGAAGAAGGCCUUCGGGUUGUAAACUGCUUUUGUCAGGGAAGAAAUCUUCUGGGCUAAUACCCCGGGAGGAUGACGGUACCUGAAGAAUAAGCACCGGCUAACUACGUGC